rnacentral:rRNA from 1 species
UACGUAGGGUGCAAGCGUUGUCCGGAAUUAUUGGGCGUAAAGAGCUCGUAGGCGGUCUGUCACGUCGGAUGUGAAAGCCCGGGGCUUAACCCCGGGUCUGCAUUCGAUACGGGCAGGCUAGAGUGUGGUAGGGGAGAUCGGAAUUCCUGGUGUAGCGGUGAAAUGCGCAGAUAUCAGGAGGAACACCGGUGGCGAAGGCGGAUCUCUGGGCCAUUACUGACGCUGAGGAGCGAAAGCGUGGGGAGCGAACAGG